GGGCGACUCAAGAAGAACAAGGCUGCAAAAAUCUCAACGGCUGCCCGUGCGGAGGCGGCCGGACCAAGGUCGCUGGCUGUACCAACCAUGCGACCUGCACGAGAAGGCCUACCCAGCGAGAAAAACUUGGGGCGAUGAGAGGCUGGGCUGAGGAGACCAGCAACCAUGGGAUUGGCUUCCUCACGAACAAGGCCCAGCUUCGGUUGGUACAAAUAAAUCAUCAAGAGUUCACUAUCCUGAGGACCACCAUCGGGGAACUUUAGAAUAUAACUGCAGAAGCGGCAGCUGGAGUUGAGGACAUGGGAUUGCAGCCGUUUCUUCUGCUAGGCAUAUUGUAGACGUGUAACAAGUUCAGAUCUGUAGGUAGGAACUCCUGCUAUGUAUGUGUGAAAUAUCAUAUUGGUUGUUUCAGCGAUGGUGAUGGGUUGUGUCAUGGUUAGAAGAAGUAGCAUUCUACUGAAUCCAUGGUCAUUACUUGUGACUACAGGAAGAUGAGAAAUGGCAGCUUGGCUACAAAUGAUUGUGGAUCCCUUGAAUAUGGUGUAUGUGAUUUGGCAUCAACGCUACUGCAGAACUAGGGUGCAUAUCAGGAAUAUAAUGGAGAAAUAAGCAUGGGCUGAAGGCAGCGUAUUACACAUCGGCCGUGUGCUGGGGGAUAGGGCGUAGUCUUUGUCUAAGUUUCUAUUGUCGUCAUCACCUUUAUUCUCUUGUGAUGACUUCAGGAAGGUCUGGCCAUAUGUAUUUCUAUUUGAGAUAAUCGUUUCAGCAUUCUUAUUUUAUGACACAUCUAGAUUGAGAUGAUCCUUAGCUCUGCAUAUUGGCAUCACCUAAACUUUCACAUUCAGAUUGAACUUGGACGAGAUAAGUUAGGAUGAGGAAUUCGUUGUUGAAUAAUUGUUUUUUUCCUUUUUUUUAAUUACGUAUGAUACCUUCCAUAUGGUUUCUUGAAACAAAAAUGAGUAACCAUAUCUCAGUCAGUCACACUUUGAUUUUUAAUAUCAAAGGAAAUCUCUUGAUUUCGUUUAUCUCUAAAUUUCUUGGUUGAUUUCAUGCUAUAGCUAGAACUACUGAAAUGUCUGCAUCAGUGGGGUUUGUGGGCAUUAUGCAACUAUUGGGUAAUUAAAAAGGUGUUCUGAUUUUCCUUAUGAAUGAUGUCAUUUAGUUCGGUGUACUUUUCUUCUACACGCAUAGAUAAAACAGAGCCUUAGUUGUACGAAUGAUAAAUUUGAGGAAUUAUCUCUAAAAUAAAUAUGGAUUUAAAUAUUAGUAUUGACGGUCUAUUAAUCAUUUGGCUUACCUACUUUUGCAAUUCACCAUGCAGACUGUGCAUCGGAUAUUAGGUAAGCGUGGUUGUAAAAUAUAUGUGAAUUAUAGAGUAGUUGCAAAACAUUUAAAGUAUAUUUUCCCAGCAUUUCGUUAUCUAUACCCAUCUACUUUUUAUUACUGCCAUAAUUUAUUAGAAAUAAUGAAAAAUAUAUUUAAUGGUGUACAACAAAUAUCAUCCCCGGAUUUUCUCAUAAAUGAGUACCACCAGGAGACCAUGGUAGCCUGAUGAUAACCAGGUUUACACGAUGCUAUUCAUUGGUUCUUAUUAAUAUCUGUGGUUUCAAAUCUUAUAUCUCUUUAGUUCUACCAGUAUGGGAGAGGAAUCAUGUUCUCAUUGUUUUAUGCAUUUAGACUGUUAGAAAAUGGAGUUACUACUUACAACUGAUUGUUAUAGCUUGUUUUCGGCUUAUUCGCUGUAAUGAAAUUUGGACUCACCUCCCUGAAGAAACUGCAUCCAUAUACUCUGGAAGUACAUCACAUUAUCUACUAAUGGUGCCACGUAUAUCCUUGGGAACCCAUUGGUUUUGUCCCUCACCGCAGAUACACCAGUAUCUCCGAAAAUCACCCAAAUUGUUGUUAUGUACUUUUUUGUUGUUUUAGUAUGGUUGCAGAAAUUAAUGUAUCGUGAAGUGUACAUGAAUUCAGUGAUGAACCAGCCUAUUGUUUUUUUUUCAUAGAUCAGUUAGUGGCAAGCUCUAAUAAAAAAUAUGACUGUGUGAUU